GAGACUCUGUGCGCGUGCAUAUCAAUAAGCGGAGGAAAAGAAACUAACAAGGAUUCCCCUAGUAACGGCGAGUGAAGCGGGAAGAGCUCAAAUUUGAAAUCUUAAAGGGUUUCCCUUUACGAAUUGUAGUUUAAAGAAGUGUUUUCUGUUGGAGUUUCGGUAAAAGUUCUUUGGAAUAGGACAUCAUAGAGGGUGAGAAUCCCGUAUUUGACCGUUACUUUCCAGCUGUGUGAUACACUUUCAAAGAGUCGGAUUGUUUGGGAAUGCAGUCCAAAAUGGGUGGUAAAUUUCAUCUAAAGCUAAAUAUUGGCGAGAGACCGAUAGCGAACAAGUACCGUGAGGGAAAGAUGAAAAGAACUUUGAAAAGAGAGUUAAACAGUACGUGAAAUUGUCAAAAGGGAAGCGUUUGACACCAGUGUUGUUUAGUUGAAAAUCAAUUCAAUAGUUUUUGAUUCUAAGUAGUAUUGACUUCAUCAGCUUGCUGCUUUCUUCUCAGAAAUUAUUGAAUGCACUUUUCAGUUAACAAGUCAACAUCAAUUUCUUUUGUUGUAAAAGGGUAAGAGGAUAGGUGGCUUGCGCUUCGGCUCAAGUGUUUAUAGCCUUUUAUCUCUGCAAUCGGAGAGAUUGAGGUCUGCAGCGUAGAUCCUUCGGGGUUAGAUACAUUUGGUGCUAAGUUAUAGCUUUUCAUAGACAACUUGUUGACUAUGUUUAGUCUUGUAGCUUACUCGCUUAUGCUAUUUUACCUACGCUUAGGAUGUUGACAGCAGUAUAGACUGU
rnacentral:rRNA from 1 species